GGAAGUUAAGAAACUGUUUCUUAACUUUUAACUAAAAAAACUAAGAACCGGUUCUUAAAUAAGGACUUUAAGAACCGGUUUUUAGCUUUUUUAGUUAAAAAUUAAAAAACAGUUUCUUAACUUCC
rnacentral:pre_miRNA from 1 species